rnacentral:lncRNA from 1 species
GGCAACUCAUUAAUAUUAGAAGAGACAACACUAAAGACAUUUAUCAAACAAAAUAACCUAGGAAAUGUUUAACAAAAAUUCAUAACAUGUAGUAAUUGUGCAUACACAUGAAAACAACAACAAAAAAUAAAGCAAAAUAAGAUGUCUUCAAGUUCUGGCUUCGCUAGCAUCAUUUUCUCUUGAAGUCUAAAGACUCUUCAUACAAUCCCAAGCCGUGAACUCAGAAUCCCGAGCCUCGAAAAUAUCUCUGCAGUCACCAUGAUAAUGUUUGGAAGCACAGUGCAUAAUUACUUUACCAAAAGUUUCUAUGAAGGAAAAAAAAGUUCAAUUCAAGUUAGAUAUAUGCCAAAUGAAAAUCCCAAGGUCGUUCAAGUCAGGUAUAUUACUAUCUAAAAUCCACAUACCUGAAAAAAUCAAAUUGAAUAGCUUGUCAUUAUAAAUAUCUAUCACAAAAAACUAAAUGCCUUUUCUGCCAAUUUCCUUUCAUAAUGACCACAGUAAAGCUCCUUCAUGAAUAAAUUGUCAACAAUGAAGCUAAUAAAAACAAUUAAUUGCCAAUGAAAUAAAUUUUAUUAGAAACACAACAGAAGAAAAUUUAUCUUUUACAUUAAAAUUAUUAUAGCAUUUUUCUGUAAGUGUUAAUAAAGCAACUACAUUUUGCAGUGCAUAGCUAUAUGUUCAAGCCUUCAAGGACUAUAGGACUCCUAGUACCACAUUCUCCUAAAACAACCUAGCUAAUAAAGAAUGUUUUCGAUAAUAUGAAUGAAUUGAUAAAAAAAAUUCAUAACGCCUAGGUAACUGAAGAUUGGUUAGGAGUAGAUCCAUACCUUUUAUUCUUCCUUACUCUUCAUUUUAAGUUUCAAUUUAGAUUUUACAAGCAUUAGGAACAAUUUUCCUUUGAGAUUCAACAAGAGACUUCAAAUAUGUAGGCUUAAUAAGUUUGUCAAACUAUCUGGACAAGACCAAAUUUAUUAAGUAUGAUUGUUGUGGCAUGUAGGGGUCCGACUAAUCAAGACACUUCAAAUAUGUGGAAAUUAGCCAACUACUGUUUGAAAGCCACACUUUCUAACAAAGUAUUACAAAAAUAUAUAUGUGCACUCAAGCAUAACAAUUAUCUUCAAAAAUAGGUCAAAUUAGAAAAAUAAGAAUACGCUCAAUAACAUAAAUAGAAAACUAAGAAAUGAAACAAACCUCUUGAGUUCCAUAAUAAUGGAGGUGUUAUAUGUUCUAAAAUGGUUCAUACUUGUCAAGCAGCCAAUAAUAUCUCGCAACAAAGUUCGGUUAUCUUCUACAUGCGCAUAGUAACAUGAAUUUGUUCUUCAUUACCAACCUAUACUAAGAAACAUAAUGAAAUUCAUCUUCAAGAAAUAAUUGCAAACUUCACCUCAAGAUCUUGAAAACUACGGAUAGCAUUAACUAGAAGAGAACACAUCCUUCUUAUGAGUAGAAAAGAGAAAAGAAAGAAAAACAAGGCAGAGAGAAGAAAAUCGAAACAACAAAUGUAUAUCCAUGCUUAAGAAUCAGCAUAACAGCAUAAUUAUCCAUUAAUCACACAACAUCGUUGAAGGGAUAAAUAUAUGAAUUCACCUUAUGAAACCACAAAACCAAUAUAGCGCAAUUAUCAGUGUUAUUAUCUCAAGGUUCAAAGACAAAGCUUAUUCUUUACACUUUCUUCUCCAAAGAGAAAAGGAAAAGAGAAAGAUUUCAUGAAUCCGAUUAGACUGGGUAAAUAACAACCAAAAUCUGACCUACUGACAGUGAAAAUAUCACUAGCAAUGGAAAGAAAUCCAAUCAGAGACCAAAAGAAAAAAGGGAAUAAGAAACCCAAACGCUCCUAAUCUCCAUUCCAGAUGCUAAAAACUAUGUAAUAGAGUUCAUUCUUUCUAUGCAUUUUACUUUCUCUGAACGGAGAAGAUUUGGGGUGAAGAGGAAAAUUAUACAAAAGUAUGGCAAGUUUAUCUAGGUUAAGCAGAAAACUAUCCGAGUGCAGGGGAAAGAAGAACAUUCUGGAGUAUAAUAUACCACCCAUAAUAGAGAACAUGGAGGCACAAUUUUGACUCAAUUACUUGAAUUUAAACACUUCUAUGCUUGCCAAAACAUUAAAAAAAAAAAAAGACAUUUAAAGACCUUAAACCACAAGAAUAGUUUAAGAAAAUGGACUGUGACUAAGUAGAGAAAUCAACAAGGAUACCCAGGGUUCAUCCAUACUAUAUACAGUUCUAACUAAUCAACUAAGCAUGUGCACUUGAAUUUAACAAAAAAUGAAGCAUUUGACCUUAAUGAAAAUUAUAAUAAAUUAUCAAAACAAACAAAAACAAGCUAAGGCUAUCACAGUAAUCUGAACAAAUCCCAAAAUAAAGAAAGAACAUCUGAAGACUUCAUGGAAAAUUCAAGACUAUUUCAAACCACAAAACGGACACUUACAGAGCAAUUUUUCUUAACAAGAAAAGCAAUGGGAACUAAAAUAGAAAGUGAAAAUACCCAAAAAAGAAAAACCACUGCAACUUACGAAUCUCAGAGGAAAGGAGAGGAAACAACACAAGGCCGCUUUGCGAUGCUCAGACACCAAAUUGAUUUUUCUUAAGCCAAAUCGUUUGCUUCCAUUUCUUAUUUCACCGGUUCGCGUCCCACAAUGAGAAUUUCAGGAGAAAGGAGUUGCUUGCUUUCGUUUCUACUUUCACAUGGGCAAGUUUCACGGCUCAAUUUGGGUUUCGAGGGAAAGAGGAGAAUGGAUUUGGUAAAAAAGCAAAAGGAAGACUACGAAGGGUGUUUAAUUUUUAUUUAGUUUUCAAUUUUAAAGUAAAGAACUAAGAGGCGAUUUGGUCGCUGCAACAUAAUUUUAGCGACAACUUCAAAAAACGUUGCCACUGAUGUGGUCCAAGCGGGAAAUAAAUUUUUUUGGUUUAAGCAGUAAAGGAAAAAG